rnacentral:rRNA from 1 species
GACGAACGCUGGCGGCGUGCUUAACACAUGCAAGUCGAACGGAAAGACCCUGCUUUUGUGGGGUGCUCGAGUGGCGAACGGGUGUGUAACACGUGAGUAACCUGCACUUGUCUUAGGGAUAACAUCAGGAAACUGGGGCUCUUACAGGAUAGGAGCUACUGCUGCAUGGUGGGCAUUGGAAAGUUUCGGCGGUGGGGGCUGGACGGGCGGCUUAUCCGCUUGUUGGGGGGGUAGUGGUUGACAAAGUCUGUGACGGGUAGCCGGCCUUGGAGGGUGGCCGGCGACAAUGCUACUGAGAGACGGCGCAGACUCGUAUGGGAGGCAGCAGGGGGGAAUAUGGCACAAUGGGCGGGAGCGUGAGGUAGAGACGCCGCGUGCGUGAUGACGGGCUUCGGGGUGUAAACAGAUGUGGCAUGUAACGAAGCGUGAGUGACGGUAAUGGGUAAAGAAGCAACGGCUAACUACGUG